rnacentral:rRNA from 1 species
UCUGGUGACUAUAGCAAGGAGGUCACACCUGUUCCCAUGCCGAACACAGAAGUUAAGCUCCUUAGCGUCGAUGGUAGUCGAACUUACGUUUCGCUAGAGUAGAACGUUGCCAGGC